GUCAUCCCAACAAUCUGAUGCAAGCUUUAGGGGUACUUAGACAUUUUCCUCUGCUACAUCAUUUUCAGGUCCCAAAGACAUGGCCAGGAAAGUCCAAGCAAGCACAGAACUACCUCAAGACAGCACACAGCAGAGCCCUUGCAGGCUGAUGCCAGGGGCAGCACUCAGCACGGGGACGCAGCGCAACCCAGCCACCUGCCUAUGUUGCCUGGGCUGGGCCACAGGUGCCGUCGGAAAUCUCUCUCACUGCAAAGGGCUGACUCCAACCUGUCACUCCCCCAACUCCUAAGCGUCCCAUAAAGGCUGAACACAGACGGAUACACUCCAGACUGUCGAGUUCAAUGAAAAAUGGACCAAAGAGCACAAAGAAAGAAGGGGCACAGGAUGGUAGGGCCACCUCUGGAGAUGGGCUGAGCAGGAGUGAGAACACCUCUUGCAGCCAUGCCCAGUGCCUUUACCGCUGCCCGUUGGCACUAAGGGUCCUGCCUGACAAUGUGGAGGGUAGGACUGAUCAGCAUCUGGCCUGCCUGCUCCCUGGAGCCCCGCAUGUCUGUCAGACACACGCAUUCGUGCACACUCAACCAUUGCAAACCACACUGGUCUUUGCCAUCUCCUUAACCCACUCACGCACACGCAGGCCCACGUCCUAGGCGGCCACAGCCUUUCUUUCUCCUGCUGGGAGGCGCUAUUGUGACAACUGAGCAGAGCCCCCAGGCAAGCAUCAGAGACAGGACAGGCAUGAGGGGGCCACACUGGGAGGCAGCUGGGAGACUGGGACAUCUUCCUACUAUGCUUGAAGGCGCAGAGAGUUUACGGGGUCCCCUUCCAACAGGCUGCACUAUAGGGUCGGUGUCCCCUUCUCCUGCCUGUGGCUGGCACUGGCUGAUCUGGAGAAGCAGAGUGGUGCUGAAGACUGCCUUCUGCUCUGAAGUCCGGUCAAUGCGGAGACUAACCACCAGUGGCAAGGGGGCUGGGCCAGCAGGCAGGACUCUCACUUUGUUCCCACACUUGAGCUGGUCCUGGAUCCCUAGCGACAGGUCUGUGUCUCCUAGGAGAACAACUCCCGUCAUGGUCUCCAGCGGUUGCCUUUCACAGAUGGCAUUUGCCAACAUCUCCUUUCUCCACUUGCUGUUUCAAGCGAUUCAAUUUAAUCUUUGUUGCAGUGGAGAGGCCCUCAGAAAAUGGGAUUUUUAACUAACUGGGCACCGUCUCUUUCUUCUCUUGGGGUCCCCACAGAGAAGAGGUCUGGACCAUGAUUGUGCAAUAAGCAAGCAUAGAAAAGAAAGCGCUUAAAAACAAUUAGGGGGUCCUUGUAUGGAAUGGCAGAGGGUAGAUAAGGUCUCAAAAAAAGAUCCUUACUCAACCAGCUGCCAAGGCUUGGCUGGAGCUGGGUUUUUCCCAUCUGAGGAGUCCCGCGGGCCGGCUUAGCCUCCGUCCUCCAGGGCUGAAUGACAUAGGACCGUUACCCCAGGAUGCUUGGCCAAGCCUUCCUGGGGGUCCAAUACAUCUCAACCCACUGCACAGAUAGGUACAAAGCACAACGAAGCUUUGCACGGGCGACCAAUCAUGAGGAUGGCUGGCAGCAAGCAAGUUGUCAGGGGCUGUUCAGGCACGUUAGGAGGUGAAGCAUUGUGCAUUAAUUCCAAGCGGGAAACUCACAGAAAAGCAGAG